AACGAACGCUGGCGGCAUGCCUAACACAUGCAAGUCGAACGAGACCUUCGGGUCUAGUGGCGCACGGGUGCGUAACGCGUGGGAACCUGCCCUUAGGUUCGGAAUAACUCCCCGAAAGGGGUGCUAAUACCGGAUAAUGUCUUCGGACCAAAGAUUUAUCGCCUUUGGAUGGUCCCGCGUUGGAUUAGCUAGUUGGUAGGGUAAAAGCCUACCAAGGCGACGAUCCAUAGCUGGUCUGAGAGGAUGAUCAGCCACACUGGGACUGAGACACGGCCCAGACUCCUACGGGAGGCAGCAGUGGGGAAUAUUGGAAAAUGGGCGAAAGCCUGAUCCAGCAAUGCCGCGUGAGUGAUGAAGGCCUUAGGGUUGUAAAGCUCUUUUAACCGGGAUGAUAAUGACAGUACCGGGAGAAUAAGCCCCGGCUAACUCCGUG
rnacentral:rRNA from 1 species